CCUACGGGAGGCAGCAGUGGGGAAUAUUGGACAAUGGGCGAAAGCCUGAUCCAGCAAUGCCGCGUGAGUGAUGAAGGCCUUAGGGUUGUAAAGCUCUUUUACCAGGGAUGAUAAUGACAGUACCUGGAGAAUAAGCUCCGGCUAACUCCGUGCCAGCAGCCGCGGUAAUACGGAGGGAGCUAGCGUUGUUCGGAAUUACUGGGCGUAAAGCGUACGUAGGCGGUUAUUCAAGUCAGAGGUGAAAGCCUGGAGCUCAACUCCAGAACUGCCUUUGAAACUAGAUAGCUAGAAUCUUGGAGAGGUGAGUGGAAUUCCGAGUGUAGAGGUGAAAUUCGUAGAUAUUCGGAAGAACACCAGUGGCGAAGGCGACUCACUGGACAAGUAUUGACGCUGAGGUACGAAAGCGUGGGGAGCAAACAGGAUUAGAUACCCUGGUAGUCCACGCCGUAAACGAUGAUAACUAGCUGUUCGGGCUCUACGAGCUUGAGUGGCGCAGCUAACGCAUUAAGUUAUCCGCCUGGGGAGUACGGUCGCAAGAUUAAAACUCAAAGUGAGUAGAGCGNGAGAGNGCGAGACGACGACGAGGAGAG
rnacentral:rRNA from 1 species